rnacentral:rRNA from 1 species
UACGUAGGGGGCUAGCGUUGUCCGGAAUCAUUGGGCGUAAAGAGCGUGUAGGCGGUCCGGUAAGUCCGCUGUGGAAGUCGGGGGCUCAACCCUCGAAUGCCGGUGGAUACUGUCGGGCUAGAGUGCGGAAGAGGCGAGUGGAAUUCCUGGUGUAGCGGUGAAAUGCGCAGAUAUCGGAGAGGAACACCUGCGGCGAAGGCGGGUUGCUGGGCUGAUACUGACGCUGAGGCGCGAAAGCUAGGGGAGCGAACGGG